rnacentral:rRNA from 1 species
AACGAACGCUGGCGGCAUGCCUAACACAUGCAAGUCGAACGAGACCUUCGGGUCUAGUGGCGCACGGGUGCGUAACGCGUGGGAAUCUGCCCUUGGGUUCGGAAUAACAGUUAGAAAUGACUGCUAAUACCGGAUAAUGUCUUCGGACCAAAGAUUUAUCGCCCAGGGAUGAGCCCGCGUAGGAUUAGCUAGUUGGUGAGGUAAAGGCUCACCAAAGGCGACGAUCCUUAGCUGGUCUGAGAGGAUGAUCAGCCACACUGGGACUGAGACACGGCCCAGACUCCUACGGGAGGCAGCAGUGGGGAAUAUUGGACAAUGGCGAAAGCCUGAUCCAGCAAUGCCGCGUGAGUGAUGAAGGCCUUAGGGUUGUAAAGCUCUUUUACCCGGGAUGAUAAUGACAGUACCGGGAGAAUAAGCCCCGGCUAACUCCGUGCCAGCAGCCGCGGUAAU